CAAGUCCAUACCUGCCGUUUAAUAAUCAUUCCUAUUAUCUAGAUUCUUUGCACGGUGUGAUCAAGUUUCACUGCACCUCCUCCUCCAGAUAUGGUCUCAACAAUCUGAUUGUAUUUCAAACACAAUGACUGCUGGGUCCUUUUUUUGUCCAGACGGCUUGUUCCAUAUUUAAACCAGGAACAGCGGUAGUCCUGGAGCCAUAUGCGGGCUUGUUUGGUUCAGUGUAAACAAGUAGAGUGAUCAGUCCAAUUCUAUUUCCCUAAACUUCACACAUUUGUUGUUGCUGUAGAAUUGCAGCAGCAAGCCGCGCAGCAAGAGAUCAGUGUUCCAGACGGAGAAUAAGGGGAAACCUGGCGCUGUAGUGUCUGCUGGACCUCUAAUUGUCAUCAAUAGAGAGAUGUCAGGAGACCGUUCUUCUCACUGGCCAGAGCACACGAAGAUGAUGUUCAUUGUGGCCGGAUUAAUGGGCUUUUUGGGCAUAGCCAUGCUCUCAGUGAUCGCAAUCAAGGCAAUCAUGACUUAUUAUAAACAGCGUCAGCAGUAAUAAAUGACUUUAAACAUUC